GCAAAGCACAAUCCAGCACAGAAGCAGAAGCCAGCAGGGUUUCAGCUAAAGGCCAUCAGAUGCUCUCAGUAAAAUUCCUGGGUGGAAAAGCAAACUGGAGUAAGCUGAAUGCUUGGAGUCAGCCACAGAAAAUUGGCUGCUGUCACAUCAUCCCUGGCCUUGGAGCCUGACUCAGGCUUACAGUAACUCCUGUUGCACACCUUUCCCAUCCCAGCGUGGGCCAGCGUGCUCUCCCUGAAUUCCUUCCCUCCGUGCCCCCAGCCUGGCAGCAGCCCGGUGCUGUGGAGUUUGUGGGGUUUGUGGAAAUGUGACACCGGCUGCCACCUGAAUUUCUCUGGACCUGAUGAACAGGCAGAGCUGCUUCUCCCGUGGAGCCUGAAAUUUUAAUGGCGCAGAUUAAAUUACGGAACUUCUCCAAUUGCUUGUGUCAAUAUAACACUUUAUCCUGAGCCUAGGGGAAAAGUAAACACGGGAGGCUCGCAUCCUGAACGACCUGCAGGUGAGGUCACGCCUUCCUGAGCGCAGAAUGCCGGUGCUGCCUUUCUGUCCUUCCAACCAAAAGCUCCAGCCUGUGUCUGGCAGGUUGGGUUUGUGUCCUCCUGCACAGCCUUGGUCCCACACGUCCAUGGAGGCACCUGAGCCGCUCAUUCCGGGGUUGGAAUGGGUUCCCUGGCUGCUCCCUGGCUCAGGGCAGAGCCCUGUGCUGGCCCAGCCUGCUGCCUGGGGAGGGGAGGCUCUGCCCUCUCUGCCCUGCUGGGACUAAGCCUGUGCAGAAGAUUUUUCCAGCGGCUUCCAGGGGUUGUUUUAUCCAGCGUUCCUGUAGGGCGUGCGGGCACGGAGCCCUGCUCCUGCCCAGCUCUGCUCCAGCUUCAAACCACACAGGAACUGCUGGCUCUCUGCUGAGUGCCUGAUGUCCUCCAGGUCUGGAUCCUGCCAUCCCCUCUCCAUGGAUCAGCCUCUGCAAAGGUUUGGAGU